rnacentral:rRNA from 1 species
AACGAACGCUGGCGGCAUGGAUUAGGCAUGCAAGUCGAACGCUUGUAGCAAUACAGGAGUGGCGAAAGGGUGAGUAACACGUGAGUAACUUACCCCCAAGUUGGGAAUAACCCUCCGAAAGGAGGGCUAAUACCGAAUGUGGAUGAUUUUACGCAUGUUUUAUCAUCUAAAGAUUUAUCGCUUGGGGAAAGGCUCGCGUCCCAUUAGCUAGUUGGUGAGGUAAAGGCUCACCAAGGCGACGAUGGGGUAGCUGGUCUGAGAGGACGAUCAGCCACACUGGGACUGAGACACUGCCCAGACUCCUACGGGAGGCA